CAGAAAUGAUGUAGUUUUUUAUUUGCUACUCUUGAAUAAGAUGAUGAAAAUUUUCACCUAAGUAGCUGAUCUG